CCCAGCCCUGCCCACCCCAUUCUGCCGGCGACUGGAAACGGGAGGUGCCAGCGGGGGCCCCGCGUCCGGGCAACAGGCGCUCGCCCGAGCGGACACCGUGGUGCCGCACCUGCUGCUGGGUGCGCUUGCAGAGGACCGACGCGGUGCUCGCCCUGCGCCCUCCCAGGGCUGCAGAGGACAGGAGAUGCUCCAGAAAGAACUAAGGCAAAGCAGAAGCGUGUGAUUACAGAGAUUCAGAAGAGGGAAGUUCUUUCUAGCUGCGGAAAACUGGAGAUCCCCUGAUGUCUGGAUUCCCGUCUCAGAUUCCUGCUGCAUGUCCCAGGGGGCUCUGCCUCGAUGAAGGCAGAAGAUUCUGCGUGAAUGUGAAAUGAGCAGAGCGGCAGGGCAGCAAGAACAUUAAGCCUGCAAGCUGAGUCCCACGGUUCCCAUCCAGUCCCUUCCUGUCUGUGGCUCAGUCUCCUGUCUGGGACGAGAGGUUGCUUGGUAAUUUUUUCUGCAAGCAGUUGUUUCCUUUAUUCCAGUGAAAUCCUACUCAGAGAACCAAAAGAUGAAGGAAGAGUAAGGGACAGGAACUACCUCAGUGACUCUCGAGCCUGCCCAUCCUACCACCCAGCCAACAGCCUGCAGGAGGGGCCGAGAAUCCGCACUUCUAUGGGCGCUGCAGUCACCUCACCGGUGCUCAGCUAUGCAGUGGGGACUCACACAUACCUUCUAAACUGACAAGGCAGCUGGUUGCAGCAGCUUCAAAUAAAUGAGAGUUCAGGGCCACCUCCUCCAUGCUUUUUUAUCCUUAAUGUUAUUUUUUUACAUAUUUCACCAAACCCCUAAUCUCUCUGAUUGGCCAGAUUUCAAGAAUCUCUGUUCACCUUUAGGGUGGCUUGUCCCGAGAGAAUGGCAGACUCUGUGCUGCACUUUGGCUCUUCGUUAAGUUCUGCAGGUGGAAAUAAGAAGGAGCAGAGCAGGAAAAAUGGUCAAAAGUAGCAGGAAAAAGAGAGCAAAGGGAAAACAGAAGACAGCCACCCUUUGGAAGUGAGGGCCAGAUCCAAAGCAAACUGCCCAUGUUUCCCAAUACUUCUUCAGGCUGAGGCCAGGACCUCAGAACAGACCAUCACUGCACAGGGUCAGCAGAGUCAUGAAUUAAAGGUCUAACAGGUCAGGACUAGCAAUCUCCACCAGACCCUGCCUGGGUUAACUUGAGGUCAGCUAAGAAAAGGCUAAGACAUCUCAACUUUUUUGCCAUAGCUUUCCUAAUCCUCAUUUCUCCUAAGAGCUGAACUCCCCUCUGGAAUCACCACCCUUGGGUCAGGAUGGAAGGGGGUACAGUGCAAAGAGAAGGGAUCAACUCACCGAGUGGUCAUGACAAUCACCAAGACUUUCUGCUCCCAUACCAUGAGCCAGAAGUCUCGAUAGGUAUUCUCCAAAGGGCCUGGAAAGAAUGGAAAAGACAAGGACCGUGAACUUGGGGAGUACUUCUUCCCUUCUCAGGCUCGUGUGUUUUCCGAGCUAUUAACCCCAAGGCAUGGGUGCUGGCUCCCUGUUCUCCUUGCUAUAUCCCUGCUCUUCCGAGUGGUCCAUCAGCGCCAGCAUCAAGUGAAGAACGUUGUAAUGUAUAGUCUGCACGUCAUUGCUCCCCAGGCAAGCUGUAGUAGCAGCUGGAGAAGCGCUGCUGUCCACUCUCUGAGAGCCUUCUCAUCCGGGCUCUGAUUGCACAUCCAGGCUGACAGGGUCAAGGUGCCAUCACUUGGAGGAGAAGGAAAACUGUCAGAACCCCACAGCUACCCUCGGAAGGCAUCUCCACCGCACAGUCAAACCUGUAUUACCUAGCUAUGAGUCCGCGAGCCAGAGAGUCUACCAGCUUAUCUUCCCACUAAUGAUUUAGUCACGAGGUUCUGCUCUUCUCUCCUCUCACAGCAGGGGGCACUGACCUCACUCUCUUGCUUCGCACACCUUCACUGAACUAACGAGGCACCUGCAGCAGACACAGAAAGCUGAAAGUCACAAUGACUCCCAGGCAGGGUUUGCAACCCAGGGCAGACCCGUUGUGAGCCAAAGCCCAUCCUCUGCUCAGCUUGCUGCGCUCGAGUGCAUGCCCUGCGGGAUCUAGACGAGAGAGAACAGAGCAGUACCAAUGUGACCGUCAACACCAGCACAGAAGUUACAUACAAGCUGUUACUUUCGGAGGUACCAUCAUACUUUGAAAAGAAAUGUCACCUCUUUAAAGAUAACUUAUUUCCUUUGAACUAGGGAUACCAGCUUUCAGAAUCUUUGCCUGAGAACACUGAGAAUUAAAAUCACAAUUUCAAAAGAAUUAUCAGACAUUACAACUGAAAAGGACCACACAGAUAAAGUAGAGACUUGAGGGCAAACUGAAUCACAGAGAGAAUGAAACCAAGAACACUGUAUUAUGGGGCUCAUUCAAUAAAAAAAAAUAUGACUAAUACCAUUAGAAUUUUAAGAGCAAACCUGGUUAACUAUUUACUAAUAAGCCCGAAUUCUCCACUUACUGUGGAAAUAACGUUUGCCAAUGUUUGCAGUAAUAAGAAGGAUUAUAACUUAAGUGAUGAUCUUCAAUUAAUGACAGUAUGAUUAGAAUUAGCCUCCUGGUAAACUAGGGCUCACUCAUUCAUUCACAA